UACAGAGGUCCCAAGCGUUGUUCGGAUUCACUGGGCGUAAAGGGUGCGUAGGCGGUCGGGUAAGUCUGAUGUGAAAUCUCACAGCUUAACUGUGAAACUGCAUUGGAUACUAUCCGGCUCGAGGAAUGGAGGGGGAGACUGGAAUACUUGGUGUAGCAGUGAAAUGCGUAGAUAUUAAGUGGAACACCAGUGGCGAAGGCGAGUCUCUGGACAUUUCCUGACGCUGAGGCACGAAAGCCAGGGGAGCAAACGGG
rnacentral:rRNA from 1 species